rnacentral:rRNA from 1 species
AGACAUUACGGGAGGCAGCAGCAGGGAAUCUUGCGCAAUGGGCGAAAGCCUGACGCAGUAACGCCGCGUGGGGGAUGAAUGCCUUCGGGUUGUAAACCCCUUUCAGCAGGGACGAAACUGACGGUACCUGCAGAAGAAGCCCCGGCCAACUACGUGCCAGCAGCCGCGGUAAUACGUAGGGGGCAAGCGUUGUCCGGAUUCAUUGGGCGUAAAGGGCACCUAGGCGGUUACGCAAGUCGGAUGUGAAAGCUCCAGGCUCAACUUGGAGAGGCCACCCGAGACUGCGUUGACUCGAGUCCGGUAGGGGAUCGUGGAAUAUCUGGUGUAGCGGUGAAAUGCGCAGAUAUCAGGUGGAACACCAAUGGCGAAGGCAGCGAUCUGGGCCGGUACUGACGCUGAAGUGCGAAAGCGUGGGGAGCGAACAGGAUUUAGAUACCCUGGUAGUCCACGCCGUAAACGUUUGGCACUAGGUGUGGGGUCCUUACCAACGGGAUCCGUGCCGUAGCUAACGCAUUAAGUGCCCCGCCUGGGGAGUACGGUCGCAAGACUAAAACUCAAAGGAAUUG